UGCCUGGCAGUCAGACUACGUGAGAUAAGUCUCGUGGUCAAAAGGGAAACAGCCCAGACCCACAGCUAAGGUCCCAAAUAAAUGCUAAGUGGAAAAUGAUGUGAAACUGCGAAAACAACCAGGAUGUUGGCUUAGAAGCAGCCACUCAUUCAAAGAGUGCGUAAUAGCUCACUGGUCGAGUGGUUUUGCGCAGAAAAUGUAACGGGGCUAAGCAUUUAACCGAAGCUUGGGCAGAUGAAUAAUCUGGGUAGGGGAGCGUCCAAUAUGGGGCGAAGUCAGAGCGGAAGCACUGGUGGACUGUAUUGGAGUGAGAAUGCCGGAAUAAGUAGCGAGAAUUAUGUGAGAAUCAUAAUGGCCGAAAAUCUAAGGUUUCUUGGGGAAGGUUCGUCCGCCCAAGGUUAGUCGGGAGCUAAGGCGAGGCCGAACGGCGUAGUCGAUGCACACACGGUAGAAAUUCCGUGACCACCAAAAGAGUUAAACCAGAGGACGCUUUCUUUAAGUCUAUCCCGGGCGAUGGUUGCCCCGGGCGUAAGGGACCGAAAUAUAGUAGGGAAGU
rnacentral:rRNA from 1 species